UUGAGCGCUGGCGGCAUGCCUUACACAUGCAAGUCGAACGGUAACAGGUCUUCGGAUGCUGACGAGUGGCGAACGGGUGAGUAAUACAUCGGAACGUGCCCGAUCGUGGGGGAUAACGGAGCGAAAGCUUUGCUAAUACCGCAUACGAUCUACGGAUGAAAGCAGGGGACCGCAAGGCCUUGCGCGGACGGAGCGGCCGAUGGCAGAUUAGGUAGUUGGUGGGAUAAAAGCUUACCAAGCCGACGAUCUGUAGCUGGUCUGAGAGGACGACCAGCCACACUGGGACUGAGACACGGCCCAGACUCCUACGGGAGGCAGCAGUGGGGAAUUUUGGACAAUGGGCGCAAGCCUGAUCCAGCCAUGCCGCGUGAGUGAAGAAGGCCUUCGGGUUGUAAAGCUCUUUCGGCCGGGAAGAAAUCGUGGUCUCUAACAUAGGCCAUGGAUGACGGUACCGGACUAAGAAGCACCGGCUAACUACGU
rnacentral:rRNA from 1 species